rnacentral:ncRNA from 1 species
GAUCGGGAGUGCGUAGGCUAUACAAAACCCGAAUGGGGAAAUCCUUCCGCCGCGCUGAGUGGCGGUUUGAGAACUCCCGAUCCUUUUCCU